UACAGAGGGGGCAAGCGUUAUUCGGAAUUAUUGGGCGUAAAGGGCGCGUAGGCGGCUUUGCAAGUGACGGGUGAAAUCCCUCGGCUUAACCGAGGAACUGCCUGUCAGACUGCAUGGCUCGAGACCAGGAGAGGUGAGUGGAAUUCCCAGUGUAGCGGUGAAAUUCGUAGAUAUUAGGAAGAACACCAGUGGCGAAGGCGGCUCACUGGCCCGGUACUGACGCUGAGGCGCGAAAGCGUGGGGAGCAAACAGG
rnacentral:rRNA from 1 species